CGGUGUAUGGUGAGGUAGGCAGUAGCCAGCGUGGGUGCGUGCUGAUAAGACGGGGGAAGAUAAAAAAGAGAAAAAUGAUUAUGAAGAAAACUGCUACUGAGAAACACUAGCACGCACUGACAGAAAAAGAAAAAAAAAACUAGAAAAAAACACAGAAACCAGUGAAGUCUCUAUUGUGUGUUCUCUACCGUUUCAUCUGUGUACGGGUGUGUGUAUGUGCGUGUAGGGGUCUCUCUGUGCGUGUGUGCGUAGUGACGUCAUCAUGUGGACGGUAAAGGAGGCAGACGCACACGGAUGAAGGAAGUGACGCCUCAGCACCAAAACCUUCCCUGAAAACUCCAACGCCAAGACAAAGAAAUCAAGAGAGAAACGCCACUAGGAACAACCACGUUACCCACUCGAAGCUGACCCCACCCUUCCUUCCCUUACCCUUCUUCACCCUUCCCCUUUCCUCCUGCAGUUGUCCUACCCAAACCUGACCUUACCUACCCUUCCCUUCCUCUCUUUCUCUUACCUAUUCCCUUCCUUCUGGUCUCUGUAGUCCCCUCCCCGAAGCUGACCCCACCCUUCCUUCCCUUACCCUUCCCCUUUCCUCCUGCAGUCGUCCUAUCCAAACCUGACCUUACCCUUCCUUCCCUUCCCCUUUUCUUCUUACCUAUUCCCUUACUCUUCGUCCCUGCACUUUCCUACCCAAACCUGACCUCACUCUUCCUUCCCUUCCCAUUCUUUUCUUCCAUUUUCCCUUCCUCCUUGUCCCUGCAGUUACCCACCCAGCCCUGACCUCUCCCUUCCUUCCCUUCCCCUUUACCCUUCCUCCCUCCCCUUCUCGUCCCGGCACUCCUCUUCCUCCCCAAAGCUGACCUCACCCUUCCUUCCCUUCUCUUUAUCUUCUCCCUUCUCCCUCCUCCCCUCCGCACUCCCAUUUCCUCCCCAUCUUCGUCUCCGCAAGUCCACGCGCACCCCUCGCAUUCGUUCCCAAGAUGGAGACGUUCGAGAAGAGAAGAAACACGAGGGAGAACGGGAUGAAACAAACUCCAGGGUACAACUUCGAAGAUAAGGGCGCGGGUCGGUGGUCUCAGUACCCCCGCAGACAGCGCAUGGAACAGGUGGAACUGGACACAGUGGGCAAGAUGGAAAACGAAGGAUACGUCGAGAGCCACAAGCGCGAAGAUGCCAACAACAGAAGCAACUUCGUCCCCAUGGGUUAUAACGCCGAAGGUGAGACAGAGAGAGAGAGAGAGAGUGAGAGAGAGAAAGAGACACUUGUGCUGGAGAUGCUAUAGGAAAGACAUGACACAGUUAAGGCAUUCAAAGUAACAAUAUCUAUGACAGUGCUUUCAAACGUUACAAACUACGAGAAAGACCGAUCCCCAUUCAUAGUAGUAUUGGCAACAUCACCCACAUUUUAUGCUGAAGGAAUGAACUUUAAUUGCAAUGGGAAAGAAGAAUGUGAUGUAGGAUGAAACAAAACACGGAGACUAUGAACCCAAGUGAUGUAGGACAGAGAAAAAACAUUGAAUAGGAGAACGACAUGACACAAUUAAAGCAUUCCAAGCAACAGAUAUGACAGUGAUUUUAAACAUUUCACUAAUAUGAGGAAGACGAUGAACAUCCAUGCAACGAUAACAGUAUUGCCAACAUCACCCACAUAUUGAAUCAGGGUGACCUAAACAUUAUAUUUCGUAGAAGGAAAGCUUUGUUCUGCGACGGGAAGGGAGACUGUGAUGUAGGAUGAAACAAUGGCGAAAGGAAUAAACUUUAAUUGCAAUGGGAAGGAAGAAUGUGAUGUAGGAUGAAACAAAACGCGGAGACUAUGAACCCAAGUGAUGUAGGACGGAGAAAAACACAGAAUAGAACGACAUGACACAAUUAUGGCAUUCCAAGCAACAGAUAUGACAGUGAGUUUAAACAUUUCACUAAUAUGAGGAAGACGAUGAACAUCCAUCCAACAAUUACAGUAUUGCCAACAUCACCGACAUUUUGAAUCAGGGUGACCUAAACAUCAUAUUUCGUAGAUUUCGUAGAAGGGAAGCUUUGUUAUGCGACGGGAAGGGGAGAAUGUGAUGUAGGCUGAAACAAUGGCGAUGGACAAUGAACAACGAUUCAGUAAACCAAAGUGGUGUAGGGUAGAUGGAACUACCGAAGAUUGAUAUCCAAAAUGGGGUGUUUUCAAGAGGAGGGUAUCAGGACACCUCUCCUCCCGAAAUGGACCUCUCUUUUUGGCCACUCCUUUGACCUCUAUUCAGGAGCAGUAGGUGGCGGGCUUUUUUAUAUAUAUUUUUCUUUACGCCCUUGAACUAUCUCCUUAGCUGUAAAAAAAAAAAAAAAAAAAGGAUAAAGGAAGACAAAUAAAGUGACAGCACAAUUACGAAGGACACUUUUUCCACGGUACUAAAGGUGGAAAAGAGCAACACACACACACACACACACACACACACACACACACACACACACACACACAGAUGGAGUGUCUCAGCGGAGUGCCUCAAGAUAAACAUUAGUUGCCACAUCUCUUUAUAUGCCACAACAAACUCUUCACGCAUGCUCACACAAUUUCCCAUCAGACACAAGGGAAAAACGAGGAGGCGACAGCAAGCAACCUCUGCGACUCUUAAGGAAUAUAAAUGGAACGUAGAAUCAUUAAGAAACUAAGAAUUAAAAAAACUCAGUAAGAAUUAGUUUAUCUCGCCUUCCCUGCUUGUAACCCUCCCGCUGAUAAGAGCAUCAACACCUCACUAUAAGGUUUUCUUUCUGUAACGUUUUCUGGCGCACGAUGUCGCUGCCGCACGAGUUAAAACACAGAGCAGAGUUUUCCAAUCUAAAGAAGAACGUUUGCUUGUGCGUGUGCGUGUGCGUGUGUGUGUGUGUGUGUGUGUGUGUGUGUGUGUGUGUUGGUAAUCUUAUCGUUCUACAGAUAGUUUUACUAAGGUGUAGUGGGAAGUUAAAAGCUUACUCUAUGACCAAUGAUUGACUAUCUUAUCAGUCAUGUGUUUGGUUACGUAGGCGUGGAGGUAAAGAGGAAAAAUGUGAGAUACUGACACUACUGCGAUUUUGGAGCGUAACUAAACCACUAACACAGACAUCAAGGAAAGAAACUCAAAAAAUAAAUUGCUCAUAAAUAUUUGUAUAAACAUUAAACACACACUUUAAUAACUCAAGUCUCACAGUUUCAAACACACCACUGCAUCCCUUUUUGUAUUAGCGAAGGCCUUGCAUACACCCACAAAAAGAAGAAACCCAACGAAGCCAAAAAUACUUACAGAAACACUAAACAAUAACAACAAAAAGAUUAGUUUGACAGCUUCGAACAACUUAUAACAAAAAAGAAGCAUUCACCAACCUCUACCGAACAACCUCGACGAACACAAAUACGGUAGACAAACAGACAAGGGACCUUCAAGUGUUUGUAAGGUCACAAAAGCCUUCAACGCGUAACUCUUUAAGAUCAUCAGAAUGCAGGUCUGAAGAGGGUUAUAAUGCAUAACUUUAGGGGGAUAUAGAGGUCUGGAUUCUCUUCGUUAGGCCUGUGCGGAGGAGAAGGAGGAGAAGGAAAGGGGGUAAGAGGAGGAGGAGGACUUGGAUGAGGAUGAGAAGAGGGAAACGCAGGAGGAAAAGGAGGUGGAGGAUGGGGAGGGACUGCAGGGAGGGAGGGGCAGAAAAAGAGGAAGAAGAGGAGGCGGCGUUGAGAUGCAAGAGGAGUAUGGUAUGUAUAAGAGGAGGAAGAUACGGCUGAUAGCAUGGCUUAGGAAGGGGAUCAGAGAGGCUUAGAGGGAAGGUACGAUAAGGUAUGGUACGGUAGGAAGGGAAUCGUGGCAGUAGAAGAGGAGUCGAGGAGUAAGCAAGUGGGAUUAUGGGAGCUUGGAGGAGGGAGGAGGGAUGGAGAGCGGGAGGGAGGGAAAGAGAGUUAAGAGGGAGUGAAGCUAAAGGAGAAUUAUGUAUUAAGGGAGAGGAAAAGAGUUAUAGGAAGCAGAAGAGAAAGGCAUGAUGGUGACGAGUGACAAUUUAUGGGAGGUAGGAAUUUAUAGUGAAAGAAAGAAGGGAAGAGAAAGCUACAGACAGACAGACGGACAGGCAGACAAAAGUACAGACAGACAGACAUACAGACACACAGACAAACAAAGAUAGACACAUGUUGAAAGACAUAAAAACGUAGAGGGACACUAAGGCAAAAACCCACACGGACAGAGACACAGACGUAGAAAUACACAGACAAACAGACACAAACACAAAACACAACAAGAAAUGUAUAAAAAUAAUUUCAAAAGAUAAACAGAGGAAAGAAAAAACAAAGAAAAGAAAAAGAAGGGACCAGGAGUAUAAAU